UAACUCUUACGGGAGGCAGCAGUGGGGAAUUUGCCCAAGGGGGGAAACCUGGACGCACCCAUGCGGGGUGUUGGAGAAAGGCUUCGGGUUGGUAAAGUACGUUCAGUGAGAAGGAAGGUAGUCUGGGUAACAGCUGCCGUAGUGACCUACCACAGCGAGCACUUGCC
rnacentral:rRNA from 1 species